rnacentral:rRNA from 1 species
UACGGAGGGUGCAAGCGUUAUCCGGAUUUACUGGGUUUAAAGGGUGCGUAGGUGGGUUGGUAAGUCAGUGGUGAAAUACUUUCGCUUAACGAAGGAACUGCCAUUGAUACUACCAGUCUUGAAUACAGUGGAGGUAGGCGGAAUGACGUCAUGUAGCGGUGAAAUGCUUAGAAUAUGACGCAGAACACCAAUUGCGAAGGCAGCUUGCUACACUGUUACUUGACACUGAGGCACGAAAGCGUGGGGAUCAAACAGGAGUUAGAAA